AGAGUUUGAUCCUGGCUCAGGAUGAACGCUGGCGGUAUGCUUUACACAUGCAAGUCGUACGAGAGUUUUUAACUCAAGUGGCGGACGGGUGAGUAACACGUAAGAAUUUGCCUUUAGGAGGGGGAUAACAACUGGAAACGGUUGCUAAUACCCCAUAUGCUUUCGAGUAAAAUGGAUUUUCCGCCUAAAGAGAAGCUUGCGGCUGAUUAGCUUGUUGGUGAGGUAAUGGCUCACCAAGGCGACGAUCAGUAUCUGGUUUGAGAGGACGAUCAGACACACUGGAACUGAGACACGGUCCAGACUCCUACGGGAGGCAGCAGUGGGGAAUUUUCCGCAAUGGGCGAAAGCCUGACGGAGCAAUACCGCGUGAGGGAUGACGGCCUAUGGGUUGUAAACCUCUUUUUUCAGGGAGGAAUCAAUGACGUGUACCUGAAGAAUAAGCAUCGGCUAACUCCGUGCCAGCAGCCGCGGUAAGACGGAGGAUGCAAGUGUUAUCCGGAAUCACUGGGCGUAAAGCGUCUGUAGGUGGUCAAAUAAGUCAACUGUUAAAUCUUGAGGCUCGACCUCAAAAUCGCAGUCGAAACUAUUCGACUAGAGUAUAGUAGGGGUAAAGGGAAUUUCCAGUGGAGCGGUGAAAUGCGUAGAGAUUGGAAAGAACACCGAUGGCGAAGGCACUUUACUGGGCUAUUACUAACACUGAGAGACGAAAGCUAGGGUAGCAAAUGGGAUUAGAUACCCCAGUAGUCCUAGCCGUAAACAAUGGAUACUAGAUGUUGAACAGAUCGACCUGUGCAGUAUCAAAGCUAACGCGUUAAGUAUCCCGCCUGGGAAGUAUGCUCGCAAGAGUGAAACUCAAAUGAAUUGACGGGGAAGGGC
rnacentral:rRNA from 1 species